rnacentral:rRNA from 1 species
AACGAACGCUGGCGGCAGGCCUAACACAUGCAAGUCGAAGGAGAAGCUAUUUCGGUAGUGGAGACUGGCGGACGGGCGAGUAACGCGUGGGAACCUGCCCUUCAGUUCGGGAUAACAGUUGGAAACGACUGCUAAUACCGAAUAUUAUCUACGGAUGAAAGAUUUAUCGCUGAAGGAUGGGCCCGCGUUCGAUUAGAUAGUUGGUGGGGUAACGGCCUACCAAGUCAACGAUCGAUAGCUGGUUUGAGAGGAUGAUCAGCCACACUGGGACUGAGACACGGCCCAGACUCCUACGGGAGGCAGCAGUGAGGAAUAUUGGACAAUGGGGGAACCUGAUCCAGCCAUGCCGCGUGCGCGAUGAAGGCC